rnacentral:rRNA from 1 species
UACGUAGGUGGCAAGCGUUGUCCGGAUUUACUGGGCGUAAAGAGCGCGCAGGCGGUCGUGUAAGUCGAACGUGAAAGCCCCCGGCUCAACUGGGGAGGGUCGUUCGAUACUGCUCGACUUGAAGGCAGGAGAGGGAAGUGGAAUUCCCGGUGUAGUGGUGAAAUGCGUAGAUAUCGGGAGGAACACCAGUGGCGAAGGCGACUUCCUGGCCUGUUCUUGACGCUGAGGCGCGAAAGCUAGGGGAGCAAACGGGAUUAGAAACCCCCGUAGUCC